rnacentral:rRNA from 1 species
CGCGCAGGCUGUGCUGCAAGUCAGCUGUGAAAUAUCUGGGCUUAACCUGGAUAUGCGGUUGAGACUGCAGUGCUGGAGUGCUGUAGAGGCAAGUGGAAUUCCCAGUGUAGCGGUGAAAUGCGUAGAUAUUGGGAAGAACACCGGUGGCGAAGGCGACUUGCUGGGCAGCAACUGACGCUGAGCGCGAAAGCCAGGGGAGCGAAACG